rnacentral:antisense_RNA from 1 species
AGCAUGGAAUUUAGAAUGAUUUAACGCAUUGCUAUUGUAGCAACGUAGGAAAUGAUAAAACUGAAGAUAAACGAUAGUUUUGAGGGGAAAUAGCACCAAAUCGAAGAGAUGAUUUGGUGCGUCCGAGUGGACUCGAACCACCGACCCCCACCA